UCCGGCGUAGCACAAUGGCAGUGCAGGUCCCUGUUAAGGACAAGGUUGUAGGUUCGAAUCCUACCGCCGGAGCCA
rnacentral:tRNA from 1 species